rnacentral:rRNA from 1 species
UAAGGAAUAUUGGACAAUGGGCGAAAGCCUGAUCCAGCCAUGCCGCGUGCAGGAAGAAGGCGCUAUGCGUCGUAAACUGCUUUUACACCGGAGAAAACCCCCUUUCGUGAAAGGGGCUGAUAGUAUGGUGAGAAUAAGCAUCGGCUAACUUCGUGCCAGCAGCCGCGGUAAGACGAAGGAUGCAAGCGUUAUCCGGAUUCAUUGGGUUUAAAGGGAGCGUAGGCGGUCUUAUAAGUCAGUGGUGAAAUCUCCUCGCUUAACGAGGAAACUGCCAUUGAUACUGUAGGACUUGAGUAUAGUUGCUGUGGGCGGAAUAUGACAUGUAGUGGUGAAAUACUUAGAGAUGUCAUAGAACACCGAUUGCGAAGGCAGCUCACAAAACUAUAACUGACGCUGAGGCUCGAAAGUGCGGGGAUCAAACAGG